AAUGAACGCUGGCGGCAGGCCUAACACAUGCAAGUCGAACGGAUGAAGGGAGCUUGCUCCUGGAUUCAGCGGCGGACGGGUGAGUAAUGCCUAGGAAGCUGCCUGGUAGUGGGGGAUAACGUCCGGAAACGGGCGCUAAUACCUCAUACGUAAAGAGGCAGAAAGUGGGGGUUCUUCGGCGCCGACGCUGUCAGAUGAGCCUAGGUCGGAUUAGCUAGUUGGUGGGGUAAAGGCCUACCAAGGCGACGAUCCGUAACUGGUCUGAGAGGAUGAUCAGUCACAUUGGAACUGAGAAACGGCCCAGACACCGACGCGAGGCAGCAGUGGGGAAUACUAGACGAUGGGCGAAAGCCUGAUCCAGCAAUGCCGCGUGUGUGAAGAAGGUCUUCGGAUUGUAAAGCACUGUAAGUUGGGAGGAAGGGCAGUAAGUUAAUACCUGGCUGUUUUGACGUUACCAACAGAAUAAGCCCCGGCUAACUUCGUG
rnacentral:rRNA from 1 species